GAUGAAGAACGUAGCGAAAUGUGAUACGUAAUGUGAAUUGCAAAUUCAGUGAAUCAUCGAGUCUUUGAACGCACAUUGCGCCCCCUGGUAUUCCGGGGGGCAUGCCUGUCCGAGCGUCAUUGCUGCCCUCAAGCACGGCUUGUGUGUUGGGCCCCGUCCUCCGAUCCCGGGGGACGGGCCCGAAAGGCAGCGGCGGCACCGCGUCCGGUCCUCGAGCGUAUGGGGCUUUGUCACCCGCUCUGUAGGCCCGGCCGGCGCUUGCCGAUCAACCCAAAUUUUUAUCCAGGUUGACCUCGGAUCAGGUAGGGAUACCCGCUGAACUUAAGCAUAUCAAUAAGCGGAGGA
rnacentral:misc_RNA from 1 species